AGCGAACGCUGGCGGCAGGCCUAACACAUGCAAGUCGAACGAAGCCUUCGGGCUUAGUGGCGGACGGGUGAGUAACACGUGGGAACGUACCUUUUGGUUCGGAACAACUCAGGGAAACUUGAGCUAAUACCGGAUGAGCCCUUAGGGGGAAAGAUUUAUCGCCGAAAGAGCGGCCCGCGUUAGAUUAGCUAGUUGGUGAGGUAAAGGCUCACCAAGGCAACGAUCUAUAGCUGGUCUGAGAGGAUGAUCAGCCACACUGGGACUGAGACACGGCCCAGACUCCUACGGGAGGCAGCAGUGGGGAAUCUUGCGCAAUGGGCGAAAGCCUGACGCAGCCAUGCCGCGUGAAUGAUGAAGGUCUUAGGAUUGUAAAAUUCUUUUACCAGGGACGAUAAUGACGGUACCUGGAGAAAAAGCCCCGGCUAACUUCGUGCCAGCCGCCGCCGAAAUAC
rnacentral:rRNA from 1 species